rnacentral:rRNA from 1 species
UUAUGUGGAUUAAUCGAUGCAACGCGAAAAACCUUACCUACCCUUGACAUGUCCUGAAGCCUGGAGAGAUCCGGGUGUGCCCGAAAGGGAACGGGAACACAGGUGCUGCAUGGCUGUCGUCAGCUCGUGUCGUGAGAUGUUGGGUUAAGUCCCGCAACGAGCGCAACCCUUGUCAUUAGUUGCUACAUUUAGUUGGGCACUCUAAUGAGACUGCCGGUGACAAACCGGAGGAAGGUGGGGAUGACGUCAAGUCCUCAUGGCCCUUAUGGGUAGGGCUUCACACGUAAUACAAUGGCGCGUACAGAGGGUUGCCAAGCCGCGAGGUGGAGCCAAUCCCAGAAAGCGCGUCGUAGUCCGGAUUGCAGUCUGCAACUCGACUGCAUGAAGUCGGAAUCGCUAGUAAUCGCGGAUCAGCAUGUCGCGGUGAAUACGUUCCCGGGUCUU